rnacentral:lncRNA from 1 species
CGGUGCAACAAACUAGGCUGUUAAGCUCUAGCUUACUUCCAAUUGUGGCUUCAACAAUGGAACUUGGGUCUCAAUCUACUAACUCUCUACCCUGCACGGCAAAUUUACAUCAAGAGUGGGGUGGAGCCAUUGUAGUUUCAACAGCUAUGGAGAAUCAUUGCAGAAAAACACCGCACAUAAAGCAUUGGAUCAGAUAAAGAUGGAAAUGCUUGAGAACCACUUGCUAAGAUGCUAAGAGAUACAGCUGAAGAUUGCAGGUGAUUCAUAUACUAAUAAUGCAACCUAUUACCUGUGCGAAGAGGGACCUGAAUCAAGUCCCUAUGUCGUGAGAGAUUGCAGGUUUGCAAACCGACAAUGAAAGCAAAUUGUUCC